CCGCAUCGGGGGGAGGGCAGUUUUCUUUUUUUGUUUGGGAGGUUUGGGGUCGCUCAGGCGGCGUCUUCAGCUGCGUCGGCGUUGGCGUUGGCGGCGGCGGCGUAGGCUAGGGUACCGGAGGGGCAGGCGCGGCCGCGGCAGCGCCGGCGUCGCGAGCGGCCUGCUCCAGCUCCUGUAGUAGGAGGCGUUCUAGGACGAGCAGAGGGAGCGCCGGGGCAGGCGGGGGUUGGGGCGGCACGGGAUGGAGCUCGAGUGGCGGCGGCUCGAGGAGAGGCUCAGCGCGGGCGAGGAGCGGGAGGCGCUGCGGCGGCUCGCGGAGGAGUAGCUGGCGGAGAGGGAGGGCCUGCGGAGCGGCGGCGGGAAGCGCAAGGAGCGGCGGCGGAAGCCGGCGCGGCGCCUGCUCCGGGCGUUCUAGAGGUGCUAGGCGCUGGGGCGCGAGGUCCGCGCCGAGUCCCGCAGGUAGCGGGUGCAGGCGCCGGAGUAGGAGAGGAUGCGCGCGUAGCAACGCCCCUUGGGCCUAUGGAAGGGCUGCGGGGGGUUGCGCGGGGUGGGGCGGCGGCUCGACGAGCAGAAGGACGAGCGCCUCCGGCGGCUGGGCGAGCUGAGGCGGGGCAGGGGGCCGCGGGGCGGCGGCCCCCGGAAGGACCUGCUCGAGAAGCCCUUGCGCCUGAUACUGCGGCAGCUCGGCCACUACCCGCUCGACAUGCUCGCGGACUCCGUCUCGCAGCUGUUCCAUAGGCGCGACCCGCUGAAGGUCGCCGGAGAGGCACACGACUUCGCCGACCACCCCUAGGGGUUGACGCGGUUCCGAGACCAUGUCGUGGGGUUCACCUAAGGAUUCUUAGUUUAGUACGACUAACCCCUUCCUUCUUGGUACCUCUAGACGUCGAACGACCCCCGGAAGAAGGUACAGUCACGAUAAGGGCUGGCACUCAAACGUUCGGUCGGACUACAACCCGUUGUCACGAAGAGACUACGUAGAUGUGCCGCCGGCCGACUAAAUGACAGUAGUAAGCGUCGUUAUGUUUUACAAUACUUAUCGAACGUCCUACCCGACUCCCUACAAGAAGAUCACGACGAAUUCUUAAGUCUAUGAGCUCUUUUCCAGGAACUUAUAGACCGUCGCCACUAUUUGUGUUUACGUCCUUCUAGACCGUACGCACACCUGGGAAACUUUACGCGUUCAAGCCCAUACAAACAGUUAGAGUCACGACAGUACGAGGCAGACACGCUCGGAAAAAACCUAUUUUACCUCAGCUACUUCCCGUUCUAACUACAGUUCAUGGAGAAGACGUUGUUUUCUCAUCUAAAGUUCUCGAACUGACGACAUUUACGGAGAAGUCUUCUUCAGAGUAGUACCUAUCUCUCGACCUCGGUUCUAUUACGGUCACCUUUCCGUUUAUUUCUCUUAAAGAGUAAAUAAACGCUUACAAAAAAGUACUGCCGUUCCCAUGAAUUAAACCCUCACUACUUUCGACACCGUCUAGAAUUUGUAUAGAGAGUCCUUGAACGUUCCACACUUCUACUAAACCUCCGUUUGUUUCGUUAGUCUCUAGUUCCUCCUUCAAGUGGUGUCGAACUCGUUCUAUAUUGUGCGAACCUCUUCUAUCAACGUCGGAAUAGGGUCCUUGUCAAGACGAUACUUAGAGUCUAUGAUUCCCUAUCACGAAAAGAAGUCGCACGUGAUAGAAAGAUGUCUAAUUACUAUAACACCAGUCAUCUGGAUCAACCCCCUAAAUUCUACGGAAACGGUAGUCUUACGGGGUACCUUAAAAGAACGUAUGGCCUCGUAAAAGAACUACUACGUUACCUAAAUGAACGAGAUUGAAGAUCUUAAGGUUUUCGAGACCUCCCGAAGGGUAACCUAUUAAAAGAGUUAAAGUUGUAAUACAAGUACCGCUCGAGAAGAAUGUAAUUUUUAGGAAUGGACUUUCGUUUCUACCAACUUCAAAACUUUUCGACCUACGGUGUUUCUUCGCCGAACUUUAGGUGUCGGAGCAAUAAACUCCCCGUGGUUGAUACAGAGCUAAUAGAACAGUUCUUAGAAGACUUCGAAAUACACCUAUAACUUAAGUGACCGAGGGUAUGUGUCAAGAAGCUGUUUAAAUUAUAAGCUGUGUUGUAACGACUCGAAGAACUCAUAAAUACCCUACAAGGGUCAGUAGCUUUACGAACCUCUGUUUACCGAUUUCUUCUCCUUUUCCCACAGAUGAACUUAAAAGACUUGAAAGAAUAGUUACUAUCGUAGAUAGAAGAACUACUCUCAAACUUUUCCUAAGAGCUCGAUUUCCUUUAUCUCCGACUUUACCGAUUAUGACAACGUACCCUAUCGUCUGGACGAGUUCUUUCUCUCCUCGCCAACGCGCGCAAAGUAGUCAGUCUCUUAUAACGAGCUAAACUAUACUUCGAGCGUUUACUCCUACAACCCUACGAACGAAAGUGCAGUCUUGUUUAAGGUCGUGGAAACGAAGAAGGUCUUUACCACCUUUCCCACCGCUCGUACAAUUUAAUGAAGGAGAACGUCGAACGACCAGGGGUCUCCUUUAGCAACUGACAUUUUCUAGGUCUCUUCAUACUCAAGUUUGGCUUCGUCGAUAACUUUGUCUAACGAUGGUAGAUACAGGUGUAACGUUCCCCACUAUUCCUUCGACAGAAGGGUCGACGUUAGAGUUUUCUGCCUUCCAGUAUGUCACUCGUCAACAAACGAUCACGUUGAUUAUAAAACACCUUCUAACCCCAUCUAGGGGUUUAGUAUGUCCUCAAAUACGUUGAACGUCCAUUUCGUUUUCGACGACGGCGACUCCGGUACCUACGGCUCCGAUAGGAACCCCUGUAUGGUCUGCUUAAAGAACUAGGCUAGGUCAUAUGAGACUACUUACUAGGACACUAUGAUGGUAGCAGCGCCCAGUGUCAUCUAGCUGGUCAAUAACAAGCCGUAAACGAGUCACUGUCGUGACUAGGCAAGUUGGCGAGGGUCGACUGAGUUCUGUACAACUAUGGUCUAUGUCUAGAGUUCAACGCGUAACUUCUUAAACAGUCCAGGGUCGUCAGCGCCUUCGCCUCCCGACAGCUGUGACUCUGGCCCCUCGGACUACCACGACGACUAUACCACCUCACUUGACGAUUUUCGACCCUACCUGUCAUCAAAGUCCGGCCUAGUUAAGAGCCAUUUACCACAUCUCACGUGGGACGUUUAGAUUCGAACAUGUGAAACAGUACGUAACGGAAUAGUACCUGGCAAUCCAAUACAGUUCAAGUGAACAUAUUUGUAAAAUAGUAAAACAAGUCGCCAAUUAAUAAUAACCACACACGCAAUUUUUUACCAUAAAAAGGAUUUUUUGUCAGCUGACAAGAGUUAGUCCCGAACUAAAAGACUAGCGCGCUAAACAGAGGUCUAAACAUAUCGGUCGGAACAAACAUAACAGCCCGGGCGAACGGAAUAACCAAAAACAAAAGUCGGACAAUAAGAAACCCGCGGGCAACAGAAAAAGAGAUGGACGUAGGUCCUUCCUCCGGGUACCUCCGUAGAGAAUACGUCUUGUCUCUGUCCCCCUACUACCUCACCUCGCCGUAACAGUAACCUCCAAGUCAACUCCUUCUUCGUCGAUCUCGAUCGGUCUCAAGCUAGUAAAUCUUUUUAAUGACCUACAAACAGAGGGUCCUCGGGUAUCGACCUUUUCGCCACCUACAUAAAAUGACUUUACCUUGAUUUUCUAGAAUUAAUUCCGCUCAGUUAUGAUGAUAAAAAGACGAUUAAUAAACACGAUCGUUGGUACUUAUAAACACUUACAAGAACUACGGUCGAAUUAGGUCAAAAGAAGAAGAUGGUAAAUUGAAUAGAAGACUAUACAAAAGAAGGAGUGAAUGAACUUGUGUUUGAUCUAAAAUCCUAGAAACUCCAUCCGGCAAGCACACCUGGUCGAGAUCAGUUAGUUAAGUUUAUUUUACUACAUCCGACAGAAUGUCUUUUAAAAGAAGUAGACUUUCUUUCUGUUUUUUAUAAGUUCAGGUACGAUCAUAAAAAACAGUUCUAACAUAUUCGAAAGAAAACCUAUAAUCAGUACAUGAGGGAGGCAAGCCUUAAUGAACAGUAUUUUUAUCUACAUAGAUGUUGAUUUUAUGUAGAUCUAUGUAAGUAAAGAACCUGUUCAUUAAGGCUUGCCUCCCUCAUGAAGUCAAAUCCUUUUUUAUACAGGUAAGGACGUCGGUGAUCAGAGUGGUACGGAAAAAAAAUGGGUUAUUCAACUUUCGAAGUAAAGAUAGUGAAUAAAAGGAACAUACAUUGUCAAGUACCAAGAGCAGCAGGUAAUCUUUGUCUCGACUAGAGACGAUUUUAAUUGUUUAACACGUACAAACUUAUUUUAUGAUAAGUCAGAAAAUCCAGCGUGGUUAAGCAAAGAAAGCAUCGUUGUUCCACGAUCGAUUACAAGAUUGUAAAAUUUGUAAGUACAGUUUAUAAAAGUAGACUAUGAAGAUCGAAUGACCAUAAUCAUCGUCUGGAAAUUAUAUCUUUUGUUUACGGGACUGGUACUUGUGACACGGUAAUGACUAUCCUAAAUUUUUACUUAGUGAAAGAAAUUAACAUAUGUAUCUACACCGUUACUGGACAAGUUCUCACACAAGAAGAGUUAGAACGAUAUCCGAUUUCUGAUUAGAAGGUUAGAACGUGCAGACGAGAUUUCAAUGCGACAAAUUUAAACACGUUCGUCUUGACUAUAUCACUAUAAUCGUACAAGGAUCACACCUUUGAAUAGAACUGUAUCCUGGUUUUACUUUCUAGGCAGAGGCUAGAGCUGUUCAAUAGACUCGUAUUGACGUGAUCAUAAGUGACGAAUUAAUAUGAACCCCGGCGGACUUUCGUUGGAAAACAGUUGACGAAUAUUAAAUAAGUCAAUGAAUUGGACUAGCGUUGCUAAUUGGUCAUACUCUUGGACGUGAACAAAAACAAAAGCCCUUGAUUACUAGACUACCCACAGUGUAUCGAAAGUACUUUCUCGACCUCAUGUAUAUAAACCAAAUGAUGGCUUUCGACCACGGAAUUCGAGACGAUCGAUUAUACAAACAAAUAAGGCUUCCAACCGACGACCCGUGAUGGUCUUGAGGUACUACAAUACUAAACAAGAUAAUAAGGUAUCUACAAGAAGGUAAACCGAUAACGUUUUUUAUACACAUGUUCAACAAGACAAUAUACAAAAAGAGUGUAGGAACAAGAGAAUGUCCGACAUGUACAAUAGACUAUUCAUCUUAAAGUACGACCUCUAAGACUUCCAACGGCGCCGUCCUCGAUUUCUACGGUCUGUCACUUGAAGACAGAACCAAUGGUUCGACUACGAAGUAGAAUCUACAGUACAUACGAGUAGUCAACUCACACUCUACGAUGCAAACCCGUAACUGAACCAAGUACAAACUUAUAAUAAACAACGGUAAAGGUACAAACCUCUGAACAAGUUAUGCACUUACAUGAACGAAGUCACCAAUCUUGACCUCGGACACAAAUAUAUACCUAAAUGCACAGUCGAACUCUUCCAACACGUACAUAAACUGGUUAAACACAGUACACUUGUCCAACCCACAACUGAACCGAGUAGAGAACAUACCUGUAAGAAGACACCUUAUCUACAAUAUCAAAACC
rnacentral:rRNA from 1 species